rnacentral:rRNA from 1 species
UACAGAGGGGGCGAGCGUUGUUCGGAAUCACUGGGCGUAAAGCGCACGUAGGCGGCUGUGUCAGUCAGGGGUGAAAUCCCGGAGCUCAACUUCGGAACUGCCUCUGAUACAGCACGUCUUGAGUUCGAGAGAGGUGGGUGGAAUUCCUAGUGUAGAGGUGAAAUUCGUAGAUAUUAGGAAGAACACCGGUGGCGAAGGCGGCCCACUGGCUCGAUACUGACGCUGAGGUGCGAAAGCGUGGGGAGCAAACAGG